ACUCAAAGGAAUUGACGGGGGCCCGCACAAGCAGUGGAGCAUGUGGUUUAAUUCGAAGCAACGCGAAGAACCUUACCAAGACUUGACAUCCCGCUGACCAGUCUAGAGAUAGACUCUCUCUUCGGAGCAGCGGUGACAGGUGGUGCAUGGUUGUCGUCAGCUCGUGUCGUGAGAUGUUGGGUUAAGUCCCGCAACGAGCGCAACCCCUAUGUUGUGUUGCUACCAUUUAGUUGAGCACUUACAACAGACUGCCGGUGACAAACCGGAGGAAGGCGGGGAUGACGUCAAAUCAUCAUGCCCCUUAUGUCUUGGGCUACACACGUGCUACAAUGGACGGUACAAAGGGUUGCGAAGCCGCGAGGUGAAGCCAAUCCCAGAAAGCCGUUCGUAGUUCGGAUUGCAGGCUGCAACUCGCCUGCAUGAAGCCGGAAUUGCUAGUAAUCGCGGAUCAGCAUGCCGCGGUGAAUUCGUUCCCGGGCCUUGCACACACCGCCCGU
rnacentral:rRNA from 1 species